ACUUUCAUUGAUCAAGAACGAAAGUUGGGGGCUCGAAGACGAUUAGAUACCGUCGUAGUCUCAACCAUAAACGAUGCCGACUAGGGAUUGGCAGAUGUUCUUUUGAUGACUCUGCCAGCACCUUAUGAGAAAUCAAAGUUUUUGGGUUCCGGGGGGAGUAUGGUCGCAAGGCUGAAACUUAAAGCAAUUGACGGAAGGGCACCACCAGGCGUGGAGCCUGCGGCUUAAUUUGACUCAACACGGGGAAACUUACCAGGUCCAGACACGGGAAGGAUUGACAGAUUGAGAGCUCUUUCUUGAUUCUGUGGGUGGUGGUGCAUGGCCGUUCUUAGUUGGUGGGUUGCCUUCUCAGGUUGAUUCCGGUAACGAACGAGACCUCAGCCUGCUAAAUAGUCAGCAUCGCACCUGCGGUGCGCCGACUUCUUAGAGGGACUAUUGGCGUUUAGCCAAUGGAAGUAUGAGGCGAUAACAGGUCUGUGAUGCCCUUAGAUGUUCUGGGCCG
rnacentral:rRNA from 1 species